rnacentral:rRNA from 1 species
UCCUUAGAUGUUCUGAACCGCACGCGUGUUACACUGAUGCAUUCAACGAGCUUUACCUUGGCCGAGAGGCCUGGGAAAUCUUUUUAGCAUGCAUCGUGAUAGGGAUUGAUUAUUGCAAUUAUUAAUCAUGAACGAGGAAUUCCUAGUAAACGCAUUUCAUCAAAAUGCAUUGAUUACGUCCCUGCCCUUUGUACACACCGCCCGUCGCACCUACCGAUUGAGUGGUCCGGUGAAGUCUCGAGAUUGUGGCAAUCUCCUUUAUUGGAGUUUGACUGCGAGAACUUGCCUAAACCUUAUCACUUAGAGGAAGGUGAAGUCGUAACA